rnacentral:rRNA from 1 species
ACCAGCAGCCAUAUCACCUGCCAACUCACCCCUGGCAGCCCACUGGAGCUCAGCAGGUGUGAGCCUGGUCAGUACCUGGAUGGGAGACCUCCUGGGAAAAACUAAGGUUGCUGCUGGAA